ensembl:lncRNA
CAUAGUGCCAUUAAAGUGACUAGCGCACAGCCUUGAAACAGUUUCAGAAAGUCUCUCCAUAAACACAGAGUUUCUCAGAAAGAAUCUCAGAGAUGUAUGAAGUUGUGAAAGGUGUGAAUGCUGACACAAAAGUCAGCUCACAAUCACUUUCAGUUUUAGUCCGCACACUUCUCGACCUUAACAACACCGACAAUGAGCAAGGAAUGGAUAGCAUGCUUGAAAAAGCAGCUGAAGAAGAGUCCUUUUUAUUCAAAUGUAAUUCUUGGCUUUUUAAUGGUGGGACUUGAGAAACUCGUGGAGAUGGACUUUGCAUGUCCUUGUAAACCUGCGAUGAACCUGCUGUUUUCUGCAGCAUAUUUUGUGGUUCCUGCUCUGUUCUCCAGUGCACUGAUGUUUUACAUUCAAAGCCCACAAUGCAAAACAAAGUGUCUGCUCUCCACGGUAACCUGCAUCAUUCCAGCUGUUGUUUGGAUCAUGCUGCUGUUCUUUGAUGGACAAUACUUUGCCUGUGCGAAAACCUCCUGGGAAGGACUAACGGUUCACACGGAUAUAUCUGCUUCAACAACGUGGUGUCAGCCUUUGAUCAAUUCUAACAACAUCACUGAAAAGCAAAUGGCAUUUUUUGGCUUUCGAAAUACUUCUCAGAUAGUGGCACUGACCAUGCUGGCUCUGAGCUCUGUGCCCCUAUUUGUAAUUGGAUGUAUGAGGUGUCGCCACCAAACAGCAGGAACCAAAGAACCUGAAGCUGAACAAGUGGAAAUGGAAAUGGAGGAUCCUGGUCAAAGUUCAGCUUCCCCUCGUGAAAGAUCUUCAUUAAUGAACGAGGAUGAACGAAGUGCAUCUUCUGAACAACUGUAACUGUAAUAACUGUAACGGCAUUUGUAGCACAUGCUCAUCCAGCUGUACCGGAAAGUGCCUUUGUUUCUCAGACGUCUUGGCAUCAUUGAAAGAAACCACAUCCUGUAACAUGGUGUUCAAGUUUGCUGAAGGGUUUUUUUUUUUUUUUUUUUACACUUUUGGCAUGGUAUACUUACUUUGAAGUUUGUAAAAUAAAAAAAUUAAAAAUACACUUUGCA